rnacentral:rRNA from 1 species
GACGAACGCUGGCGGCGUGCCUAAUACAUGCAAGUAGAACGCUGAAGGAGGAGCUUGCUUCUCUGGAUGAGUUGCGAACGGGUGAGUAACGCGUAGGUAACCUGCCUGGUAGCGGGGGAUAACUAUUGGAAACGAUAGCUAAUACCGCAUGAAAUGGAUUAUCGCAUGAUAAUCGAUUGAAAGGUGCAAAUGCAUCACUACCAGAUGGACCUGCGUUGUAUUAGCUAGUUGGUGAGGUAACGGCUCACCAAGGCAACGAUACAUAGCCGACCUGAGAGGGUGAUCGGCCACAUUGGGACUGAGACACGGCCCAGACUCCUACGGGAGGCAGCAGUAGGGAAUCUUCGGCAAUGGACGGAAGUCUGACCGAGCAACGCCGCGUGAGUGAAGAAGGUUUUCGGAUCGUAAAGCUCUGUUGUAAGAGAAGAACGAGUGUGAGAGGGAAAGUUCAC